rnacentral:rRNA from 1 species
AACGCUAGCUACAGGCUUAACACAUGCAAGUCGAGGGGCAGCAUUCCGCUAGCAAUAGCGGAGAUGGCGACCGGCGCACGGGUGAGUAACGCGUAUCCAACCUGCCUUAUACUCUUGGAUAGCCUUCUGAAAGGGAGAUUAAUACAAGAUAGUAUCAUGAGUGAGCAUUCUCGCAUGAUUAAAGGUUUACCGGUAUAAGAUGGGGAUGCGUUCCAUUAGAUAGUAGGCGGGGUAACGGCCCACCUAGUCUUCGAUGGAUAGGGGUUCUGAGAGGAAGGUCCCCCACAUUGGAACUGAGACACGGUCCAAACUCCUACGGGAGGCAGCAGUGAGGAAUAUUGGUCAAUGGGCGAUAGCCUGAACCAGCCAAGUAGCGUGAAGGAUGAAGGUUCUAUGGAUUGUAAACUUCUUUUAUAAAGGAAUAAAGUGAGGCACGUGUGCCUUUUUGUAUGUACUUUAUGAAUAAGGAUCGGCUAACUCCGUGCCAGCAGCCGCGGUAAUACGGAGGAUCCGAGCGUUAUCCGGAUUUAUUGGGUUUAAAGGGAGCGUAGACGGGGGAUUAAGUCAGUUGUGAAAGGCUGCGGCUCAACCGCAGCACUGCAGUUGAUACUGGUUCCCUUGAGUGCGGUUGAGGUAUGUGGAAUUCGUGGUGUAGCGGUGAAAUGCUUAGAUAUCACGAAGAACUCCGAUUG